GGAAGGUCCGGGCGUUAUCCGGAUUUAUNGGGUUUAAAGGGAGCGUAGGCCGGAGAUUAAGCGUGUUGUGAAAUGUANACGCUCAACGUCUGCACUGCAGCGCGAACUGGUUUCCUUGAGUACGCACAAAGUGGGCGGAAUUCGUGGUGUAGCGGUGAAAUGCUUAGAUAUGACGAAGAACUCCGAUUGCGAAGGCAGCNUUCUGGGGNGNNACUGACGCUGANGCUCGAAAGUGCGGGAAUCAAACAGGAUUAGAUACCCUGGUAGUCCGCACCGUAAACGAUGAACGCCCGUNNUUGGCCACACANAGUCAGNGACCAAGGGAAACCGUUAAGCGCUCCACCUGGGGAGU
rnacentral:rRNA from 1 species